GGAGAUAACCCGGUUGGAUCAGGAGCUUGUCUUGAAAACAAGUAAUACCAUCACAAGGUAUUGGGGGUUCGAAUCCCUCUGUCUCCG
rfam:Microscilla marina ATCC 23134 1099589004157, whole genome shotgun sequence.